GACGAACCGUACGAACGUUAUUCGGAAUCACUGGGCUUAAAGGGUGCGUAGGCUGCGCGGAAAGUUGGGUGUGAAAUCCCUCGGCUCAACCGAGGAACUGCGCCCAAAAACUGCCGUGCUCGAGGGAGACAGAGGUGAGCGGAACUUAGGGUGGAGCGGUGAAAUGCGUUGAUAUCCUAAGGAACACCGGUGGCGAAAGCGGCUCACUGGGUCUCUUCUGACGCUGAGGCACGAAAGCUAGGGUAGCGAACGGG
rnacentral:rRNA from 1 species